rnacentral:misc_RNA from 1 species
AAAUGAUGGGCUAUAGUCUAGUGAUUCCUUUGGAAUUUUAUUGCUUCUGAUCUGGGUGAGAGUGCAUUGAUGCAUACUUGAUUUUCUUUGUUCAACACUCAUGAUCUACCACCUGGCAACGCUUGGCCAAGGUCUGAAGAACUGCAAUUGGAUUGUGAUUGAUUUUCUAGGCAUAAAUUGAAUAGUUAUUCUGAUUAAUGGAAUACUUCAACCAGGCAAAAAAAUUUGAUUUAAGCGAAGUAGCAGGUUCCUAGACCCCCUCCUUCCCAUUGAAAAUAAGAUAAAGGUCGAUUAUGCAAAUUGAAAUUGGUUCAAGCUGGGAAAUCCAUUGUGCAUAUGUGCUUUCCUGGUUGGGCUCCCUCAGUUGUUUCACCUUGACGCCUAGGAAAGUGGUGAGCUUGAUGAUACCUUCUUCCUCCAUCCUGAUAAUCAUUGACUGUUAGAACUUCCUCACACAAUCAUGCUUUGAUAUCAUCUGAAGGUUUGAAAUCUGGAGACUUGUUGCUAAAGCCAAACUACAAGAUCUUCAGGAAAUUUUUUGGAGUAAAUUACUCGGUAAUUGGCCAUCCUUCAUUUUGGCACUUUUGUAGAUUCUGAGCAUUACUUCAGGGCUAAAAGAUGCAUCAUAAAGUCCCAUGUAGAUGCAAGUUUGAACUUGCCAAAUCAGUUCAUUCACUUUAUGCAAGUUUAAGAACAAGGUUUUCCUGUCAUGUCAGUUAAGUUCUAAAAGAAGCUCAAAUUUUUAUUUGUCACCCUUAUGCUGUAUGCAUGUAUUGAAGUACGUUGCCUUUUCAUGUGGAUGCAGUUAUCGGUGUGCAUUUGUCUAGAGAAGAUUUACCCGACAAUAUCAGGGGAACCCUUCUCUUUGUUUGUGCGGAUUCAUAAUUCAUCUUGGACAUUCAUUUUUUCUUUUUUAAUUCCAGAAUGACAUUAAUGCUGGCUUUUUUAAACAGGCAUCCUCACAUAAUAAAAACUGUGAGUUCUCUCUAACUCACAGGUUUAUCAACUUUAUUGGCACAAGAAUACACCUUGGAUUUUGUGUGUUUAGCAAAUAGGACUUCAAGAUGCUAGAAGCUGGCUUGAGUCACAAGGCCCUCUUAUUUUAUUUUUAGGGGCAUUGUGCAGAUGUCUGUAACCGAAUACAUCUUCAAAGUGCAGCUGAGAUGUCUUCGGAUUAUGUAUUUUUCAACUUUGUAAAUAUGUAAUUUCAUCUUAUUUUUGUAGCAACUGCGAUUGUUGUAUAAUGGGUUGAGAAAUUUUCUUGUUUCGACUUUUGAAUUUAUGAGCUGAUUUAAAUAAAUAGAAAAGUUUGGUUCUUG